GAUGAAGAACGUAGCGAAAUGCGAUAAGUAGUGUGAAUUGCAGAAUUCAGUGAAUCAUCGAAUCUUCGAACGCACAUUGCGCCCCUUGGUAUCCCGAGGGGCAUGCCUGUUCGAGCGUCAUUUCACCACUCAAGCCUGGCUUGGUGUUGGGCGACGUCCCCUUUGGGGACGCGCCUCGAAACGCUCGGCGGCGUGGCACCGGCUUUAAGCGUAGCAGAAUCUUUCGCUUUGGAAGUCGGGGCCCCGUCUGCCGGAAGACCUACUCGCAAGGUUGACCUCGGAUCAGGCAGGGAUACCCGCUGAACUUAAGCAUAUCAAUAAGCGGAGGA
rnacentral:misc_RNA from 1 species